rnacentral:rRNA from 1 species
UACGUAGGGUGCGAGCGUUGUCCGGAUUUAUUGGGCGUAAAGAGCGUGUAGGCGGCCAUACAGGUCCGUUGUGAAAACUGGAGGCUUAACCUCCAGACGUCGAUGGAAACCGUAUGGCUAGAGUCCGGAAGAGGAGAGUGGAAUUCCUGGUGUAGCGGUGAAAUGCGCAGAUAUCAGGAAGAACACCCGUGGCGAAGGCGGCUCUCUGGGACGGUACUGACGCUGAGACGCGAAAGCGUGGGGAGCGAACAGG